ACUGACAAGCCAUGAGGUCAUGGCCUGAGCCAAAGUCGGACGCUCAACCGAUUGAGCCACCCAGGCGCCCCUAACAAAGCAUUUUUAAUCCAGAGGAUUCUCUGUGGUUUUCUGCUUCUCACACUUCACAUAAUCCUUCUUACCACAAAUAAGUUCAAAAAGGAUACAGUCAAAAAUUAUUCUUCAAAUCAAAAUGAAAGGUAAUAGGCAUGCAUCGAAGUCUUUACUUUGAUUAGCACUUUUGUUAUACAUGCAAUUACAAAACCUAUGUUGGUUCUCACCUGUGGCACAGAACCUGUAAACAGAAAUAAACUUAUGCCUUUGUGUUACAGCUUUACAUGCCAGACAAAGAUACCAUACCGUUUUUGGAGUUAGAUGAAUGGAACUCACUACAAAUGUAGCCCAAUAUUAUAAAUACAGUGUAAUAAAUACAAUGUGUGUACAUGAUUUCACCAAAAGUAUUUUUUUAUUUUUAAAAAGCAUUUCUAUUUCCCAAUUAAGAGAUCCUUUGAACCAUGUAGAUUAUUUAAUUUUGGAAGGGUUCAACUUAUGCUCAUGAAUGAGGGGAAGGUCCCCCAUAUAAAGGUUCUGUUACUUCAGGUACUCACUGCUGGUUGUACAACUUUCCACAUUUGUGGCAAUAAAACUAAUUUAAUAGAAGUAAGCCAGGAAAACACCUAGUAGGUUUUGAUAAUCGUUGAGUUGUAUUGUCAAAUAUGACUUUAAAUUGUUAAAGCAUAGUUUAUAGAACUCAAAGUAACGGCUGGUAUAUAUCCAGUACAAAGGAUAAAAUCAAUUUUAUUGCAUUUAAGAAGUCAAAUUUGGGUGUGGUAUUAGAAAAAUAGUAACCACUGCUGCUCAGAGUUACAUGGUCUGUGGAUAAACAUAACCCUUCAGUUUUAAGUUUCAAGUGAUGUCAGCCCAGCUCAUCUUAUGAGCAGUCCAUUUACUUUGGGGAUAAUGGGAGACAUUUCUGUUUACUGAUUGUUCAAUACCAAUGACAACUUGAAUGAAUUUGGAACAACUUCUAUUUCUAGCUGACUCAGUCACUGUGGAAAAGAAUGGCUGGUUUAUAACCAUCUGGUCCUUAGCUAUCCUGCUAAGAGAUUUGGAAGAAAUCAUUAAAAAACAGAAUCUAGUGGCCUUAUGUGAUCUGAAAUGUGUUGGGAUUUUGAAGUUAUUUCUUUAGGGAGAGAGAAAUGCUGUGUAGCACUGACAGUGUAAUGGGACUAAAUUCUUAGUGUUCUUUGUCGACUCACAUUGAAUAAAAAUACCAAACCUUAAGUUGCACCCUCUCAUAAAAAGGCUAAAUUAAUUCGGUAAAAUGUGGGCAUGGUGUUAUAACGUUGGCGUGAUAAACAAGUCAGAGACAGAAGUGACCCGACCAGCAUUUUAUGACUUCAUUCCCUGCACUGUCCAGUCACUAAUGUGUAAUGCAGGUGAGUGAAAUGGUCUGUAGAUUCAGUAGAAGGCAGUCCCUGCCUGGCCACCAAAAUCAUGGCUGAAGUGAGUUCGUCUUAGGAUGAAAUGUGGCCAGUACACCAAACCUGAAAGAGGUCCUCUGAUUUAGGGCACUGAAAACACAGAGGAAUUGGUUCACUGUGACAGAAAAAUGCAUAAGCUAAUUAACAUUUAAUUGGAGUGUAUGCCAUUAAAUGUAAUGUGUGUAAUACUGAUGAAUCCUGGUUUACUCGCUCAUUAAGACUGAUAUACUCUGGAAAUUGAUGUCUGGAGAAUAAAAUCUAAUACAAAUCCCUA